UGCAGGAUGGGCAAAUAGAUGCUGAAGAACUACAAAGGUGUCUCUCGCAGUCCGGUAUUUGUGGAGGCUACAGACCUUUCAAUCUGGAGACUUGCAGGUUAAUGGUUUCCAUGCUAGAUAGAGAUAUGUCUGGAAAGUUGGGCUUUCAUGAAUUCAGGGAUCUCUGUGGUGUGAUACAUGGUUGGAUGCAACACUUCAUGAC